UGUAAGCGUAUACCAAAGUUGUUGCAGUUAAAACGCUCGUAGUCGGAAUUUGGCAGUUCCGGAAGUGUGCACGUCGUGUGCGCACUUUGCGGGGACUGCUUUUGUGGUCUUGCGUAGGAUGAGGCACUUUCAUUAGUGAACGUCCUCACGCAACCACUCUUUACUGUGAGAACAUCAGAGUGCUCAAAGCAGGCAUUUGCCGUGAAUGUAUUAGCAUGGAAUAAUAGAAUAGGACUCGGUUCUAUUUUGUUGGUUUGUUGGGACUGAGUAAUGAUUAAGAGGGACAGUUGGGGGCAUUUGUAUUCCGGCGCUAGAGGUGAAAUUCUUAGAUUGCCGGAAGACAAACUGCUGCGAAAGCGUCUGCCAAGGAUGUUUUCAUUGA
rnacentral:rRNA from 1 species